rnacentral:rRNA from 1 species
UACAGAGGCUGCAAGCGUUAUUCGGAUUCACUGGGCGUAAAGGGCGCGUAGGCGGCCGGGUGAGUCAGAUGUGAAAUCCCGAGGCUUAACCUCGGAACUGCGUCUGAAACUACUCGGCUAGAGGUUGGGAGAGGGAUGCGGAAUUCCAGGUGUAGCGGUGAAAUGCGUAGAUAUCUGGAGGAACACCGGUGGCGAAGGCGGCAUCCUGGGCCAAUUCUGGCGCUGAGUGAGCGAAAGCCAGGGGAGCAAACGGG